rnacentral:rRNA from 1 species
GAUGAACGCUGGCGGCGUGCCUAAUACAUGCAAGUCGAGCGAACAGACGAGGAGCUUGCUCCUCUGACGUUAGCGGCGGACGGGUGAGUAACACGUGGAUAACCUACCUAUAAGACUGGGAUAACUUCGGGAAACCGGAGCUAAUACCGGAUAAUAUAUUGAACCGCAUGGUUCAAUAGUAAAAGACGGUUUUGCUGUCACUUAUAGAUGGAUCCGCGCCUCAUUAGCUAGUUGGUAAGGUAACGGCUUACCAAGGCAACGAUGCGUAGCCGACCUGAGAGGGGGAUCGGCCACACUGGAACUGAGACACGGCCCAGACUCCUACGGGAGGCAGCAGUAGGGAAUCUUCCGCAAUGGGCGAAAGCCUGACGGAGCAACGCCGCGUGAGUGAUGAAGGUCUUCGGAUCGUAAAACUCUGUUAUUAGGGAAGAACAAAUGUGUAAGUAACUAUGCACGUCUUGACGGUACCUAAUCAGAAAGCCACGGCUAACUACGUG